AUUGAACGCUGGCGGCAUGCUUUACACAUGCAAGUCGAACGGCAGCGCGGGCUUCGGCCUGGCGGCGAGUGGCGCACGGGUGAGUAAUACAUCGGAACGUGCCCAGUAGUGGGGGAUAGCUCGGUGAAAGCCGGAUUAAUACCGCAUACGACCUGAGGGUGAAAGCGGGGGGUCUUCGGACCUCGCGCUAUUGGAGCGGCCGAUGGCAGAUUGGCUAGUUGGUGGGGUAAAGGCCUACCAAGGAGACGAUCUGUAGCUGGUCGGUGAGGACGGCCACCCGCCCGGGAGCGGGAACACCGCCCAGACUCCUACGGGAGGCAGCAGUGGGGAAUUUUGGACAAUGGGCGAAAGCCUGAUCCAGCAAGGCCGCGUGUGUGAUAAAGGCCUUCGGGGUGUAAAGCACUUUUGGCGGGAACGAAAAGGACUGGGCCAAUACCACGGUUCGAUGACGGUACCCGCAGAAUAAGCACCGGCUAACUACGUG
rnacentral:rRNA from 1 species